AAGAAAGUAAAGUAGAACUGCUAACUCUACAUCCCAUACUUAAAAACAUGGCUUUCUCA
ensembl:Mt_tRNA